CCCUUAGAUGUUCUGGGCCGCACGCGUGCUACACUGAGUGGAUCAGCGGGUCAGGUUGCGCGAAAGCGUUUCCUAAUCUUUAAAUCCGCUCGUGAUGGGGAUUGACGGUUGCAAUUUUCUGUCAUAAACGAGGAAUACCUUGUAAGCGCGGGUCAUCAUCCCGCGCUGAAUACGUCCCUGCCCUUUGUACACACCGCCCGUCGCUCCUACCGAUUGAGUGGUCCGGUGAGGCUUUGGGAUCUGAGCGGAAAGAGCGUUUCGCUGUUUCUGCUCGGAAAACUCAGUCGAACCUUAUCAUUUAGAGGAAGGAGAAGUCGUAACA
rnacentral:rRNA from 1 species